GCGUCUACAUCGGUGUGAUAGUUUAAAGAUUCAAAUUUUAAAAAUUUAUUAUUACAAUAAAAAAGAAGAAAAACUGAAGUUGCUAAUUGUAAAAGCCAACUUGUUUUUAAAAAUUUAAUUUGCUUUUGGGUUUGGGUAGCAUCUGAUAUAUGAAAGUAAACAGAGGAUGGAUAUCACAUUGGGUAUAAUUCCGGAUGGAUCCAUAAGUUUAAUGCUUGUACUCUCAUCUCACCCCACCUAAAGAAAAGAAUAGUGACUUUGAACU
rnacentral:misc_RNA from 1 species